rnacentral:snRNA from 1 species
AAUAUAAGUUUAGUGUUUUAGA